UAACCGCGAAAGCCGAGAGAAUAAUUUAUCCGACUAAGACGUUUUUUGUUAGUUAGGUGAACAAACACAGUUCUGGAAUAUUCUGGAAACAUACAAGAUGGCCGCCAAGAAGAAAGACAAGUGGAUUUUAUCAUUAAUGGAACAACACACGCAUCUAGACUUGGUCUUAAUUUAAAGAAGAGAAGCGCAGGGAGGAUGUUGAAUCCGAGGCAACUGACCAGAAGCGGACAGGAAAGACAUUGAAUGUUCCACGAUCGACGCCAUUCGGCCGGCUCCGAGGCUCUCUCAUUCGUCCCGUGGUUCAAUACGGGCGAUCGCGGCCGAGCUCUCUACACAGCCCCCACUGGGAUCAACUAAUAUCCAGUGUGAUACACUUCUACAGUUGUACGCCGUGGCCUCUUGAGGAAAUCCCUGGUCCCUGUGUACUGUUUUUCUUAAACUUUGUCUGUUUCACUAAGUGCAGGAACAUAGAACCGUCUCUACUGCCUUUUAAUGUGGCCUUCUGAUCUGAAAUGUACUUUAAUAACAUCCCAAAUAACACACAACCUUUUACAAUUGUAUAAUAAUACAUACUUGUGCAUGUAUAUAAUUAAAAUGUUCACAUUUAAAUACACUGA